rnacentral:rRNA from 1 species
UACUAAAGGUGCAAGCGUUAAUCGGAAUUACUGGGCGUAAAGCGCGCGUAGGUGGUUUGUUAAGCGGAAUGUGAAAGCCCAGGGCUCAACCUUGGAACUGCAUUGCGAACUGGCAGACUAGAGUACGGUAGAGGUUAGUGGAAUUUCCUGUGUAGCGGUGAAAUGCGUAGAGAUGGGAAGGAACACCAGUGGCGAAGGCGACUGACUGGACUGAUACUGACACUGAGGUGCGAAAGCGUGGGGAGCGAACAGG